GGAGUGUUAUGAUGGUGGUGCUUGCACUUAGUCUAGCUCUUACUGUCUAGUCUUAAAAACUAGGCCG
rfam:Lactococcus raffinolactis 4877 genomic scaffold, Scaffold1535